rnacentral:rRNA from 1 species
GAUGAACGCUAGCGGCAGGCUUAACACAUGCAAGUCGAGGGGUAUAGUUCUUCGGAGCUAGAGACCGGCGCACGGGUGCGUAACGCGUAUGCAAUCUACCUUUUGCAGAGGGAUAGCCCAGAGAAAUUUGGAUUAAUACCUCAUGGUAUGUGAGAAUGGCAUCAUUUUCACAUUAAAGUCACAACGGCAAAAGAUGAGCAUGCGUCCCAUUAGCUAGUUGGUAAGGUAACGGCUUACCAAGGCAACGAUGGGUAGGGGUCCUGAGAGGGAGAUCCCCCCCACUGGUACUGAGACACGGACCAGACUCCUACGGGAGGCAGCAGUGAGGAAUAUUGGACAAUGGGCGCAAGCCUGAUCCAGCCAUGCCGCGUGCAGGAUGACGGUCCUAUGGAUUGUAAACUGCUUUUGUACAGGAAGAAACACUGGUUCGUGAACCAGCUUGACGGUACUGUAAGAAUAAGGAUCGGCUAACUCCGUGCCAGCCGCCGCCGUAAAAC